UGUUUUUACUUUGUUGAUUUUUAACUGUUUUUUUCUAUGGUCAUAUUCUAAUUAUUUUUUUCUUUCAUGAAAAGUCUGGAGAUUCUGACUGAAGAGACUGAAAAUAGCCAUCAACAGAAAAGAAGUCAGGAGAUUCUGACUGGAGAGUGUGAAUGAAAACUGUUGGAUGAACUGGAAUGGCCAUCAACAGAAAAGAAGGAAAACUAGGUUCAUUCUGGAAUUGGAUGCUUAAAAAGAAGUUAUUGCACAGUUUUUAUGUAUUUGUUUGUAUUUUGAUUUGUUAUAUGGAAAUAAAAUAAUAUUCUUUUCUUAAGGUCAUGUUUUAUUUUAAAUGUUAAGCAUUUUAUUCCUGUUAAAAUUCUUGUUUUAUUUAUUUAAAAUUAUAGAAAUUGAUGUGUUAUUUACAGGU